CAAUCCUCGACGAGAACCAAUCCUCUCCCCAAAACCUAGCGCACUCGGGCAAAUCCUCUCCAUCCUUCGAGCUCUUCUCUCUUUCUGCGCCGUCUCGCCUCCCCUGCUCUCGCGCCGCCGCCUUCUCUCCCCGCCCCCCGGCGCUCAAGGUGCAGCAGCAGGGGCGCUCCUACGUUCUCCGUCCAGUCAGGUCCAGGUCGCCGGCAUCACGCGCCGCAUGCCAUGAAUCUGGAUCUGGUGCAUAUCUUCGCCCGGAGAGUAGGAGCAGCAGUGAGGGCGGCAGAGGAGCCCAUCCUGGAUGAGCCCCGCUCCGGUGGCUGCCCGCAAAGAAGAGGGCGAGGAUGGCUCCCAGUUCAUGGAGGAAACGCCUGUCACAGGGCAGGCAUGUCUUCAUGGUGCUUGCCGAGGAGCAGGGUCGUUGAGGAAAAGUGGUGGUUGGGGAGGAGGACUCCCUUGUCCUUGGUGUCCGGGCCGCCAUGGCUGACGCCGGAGCCGUUGGCUGGCCUUGAGGUCGUCAGUCGUUUGCGUCCUCGUCAUCAAUCCAACAACCAGGUCCUCGAUCCAUCUGCGGCCGCUGCACCUCCACAGUACGGCCGCCGCCUUUUUGUUUCCCUCUUGUGUUCAUCAUCUCAGAAAUUUUAUUGGCACUGGAUCAUGCGGGAGGAGAUCCCUGAGGCAUUUGGUUCUUGUGGGAUUCUCACACAUCUUGCAAGAUCAACAACAAGUGGCUGAGUCUUUACAUUAUUCAGAAAAUCUAUUUUUAUCUUUCAUUUAUUUGUCUAAUUUAUGUGCCCGUGUCCUUGCCUCCGUUUCGCUCUUAUUGAAGUUCCAACGAAUUUCUGUGCUACAUAAGAAGUACUAAUGCUAAUAUAUUACAAUUUGGUAUCCACAACCUUCAGUCACGGGAUCUUGAGAAAAGCACAUUAGGCAUUUUGUUUGUGUCAACUAUACAGAAUCUGCAAAGCCUUUUUUUUGUGCAGAAAAAUUCACACUCUGCAUUAGUUGCAAAGAUACUGAUUUUGAUCUUAACAAUUAUAGUUGUUGUUCAAGCAGUAGGAGAUCUGGCAACCUCACGGGCAUCUCAUUCAGAAUUCACGUCCUAUCUUCAGAGUUUAGCUUAGCGUAUUUUUUAUUUUCUGCUUUAAAUUAUUUUCCUCAUGUGACACAAAAGGCUUGAAGCCUUCUCUUAACUCACACUUCUAUGCUAACUGAACUUAUUUCUGGUUGUAAGAUGAGUUCAUAGCGAAGCAGGCCAACAUCUUCGUUGCACUGCAUCGACUGCAUAUGACACAAAAAUUGGUGUUCAAGCACACAGCUGCUGUAUUUUGUAAAUCGUGACGUGUUCAUAUGAUUUUGUUUACUGAAGGUGCUUCGCAAUUAUAGGUGGAAAAUUUGGCAUGGAGGCACAUAGGAUUGCUGAUUUUGUUUUUGGAUUGGCCCUUGCGAGGGAGACCGAAGCAAACUCCAACAGGUUUCAGGUGUGCAUCCUCUAUUCCUGGUGUUUGUUUCCCUAGCUGACCCUGAGAAUUGUACAAUUUGGUAAAUAUAGUUAGUUACUUAGUUUACUGGCAGUUGCCAUAGUCAGAGCGCGUACAAGUUUGGUUUUACGUAGGUUAGUAGAUGUCAUUCAGUAAUCAGUGAAAAUUAGGACUGAAGAAAGUGUGCCUCCCUAUUUUGUGCAGAUAAAUGCUUAAGGUAGUCGUAGUGUGACCAAAUUAAGUAAACUUAUACAAUAAGCUUCUUUAUUGUUACACUUGUGGAAACUAAACUGCUGCUGUAUCGGUUGUUCUUUUGCAUUUUUCCUCUGCAAAGAUAUAUAUUAACGUACAAACAGUGCGCACAUGUUAGCCUUUUGUCCGCGAUGGCCGUAUUAGCAUGCCUAGCUACCAAGUAUAAAUAGUAUGUGCAUCACUUAGAAAUAGAGCAUCCCAGUGGAAUAUGGAUGAGGUAAGAAUUAGGAAAUUUCUCUCAUAUCUGACUGAUCUAUCGGAAAAACUGAUCUCCUACAAUGUAGAGUGAAUCUCACUAAAGAAAACCCUUCUGUAAAAUAUGUCCAAAUAUAAUAAAUAUUGCAGUUUAACCUCACCAUAAUAAUUAACAACUGCGAACUUCAAGGGACAUUUAUUACUACAGUUUUGGUAUGCCUGAGAUUUUUUUUUGUGAUCUUUGCUUGGAAAGAGGAAAAGGCAUAUUUAAAGACUCAGGUCAAAGGCUGAUCUGCUGUGUUUAUAUGGUUAUGGAUUUCUAAAAUUUCAUUUACCUAACAAUGGAUCUAUGCAGUGCAAUGUUCUGUAGUUUACUACACCUUACCAAUCUCCUUCCCUGUACAAAUGGUGCAAGUAUUUUAGAGAUCUCCACUUAGUGCAAAAGCCUGGUGACUAAUUUCUUUUUGCAUUGCAUACUUUUGAGUAACACAUUGGCUGUUGUAGCUUUUGUAUAUUUAUUUAUUUUCUAAAUAUGGACCCCCCCCCCUGCUCUAAAGGAGUACGAUUUGUAGCUGGCUAACUUAUAUA